GGGGGGGGGGGGGAGUAUUCCGGGCCAUGCACCAGUCUAUUAGGUGCUUUUUUAUCAUUACGAAGAAAGGAAAUAUAUAACAUACUGAAAUUCACAUAAAACUAAUGUAAGAUAAAAAUUACAUUGAAAACAUUACUUUCUUAGAGCCAUGUAUUAUAAGUAUCAUGGAACCUUCAAGGUCUUAUGCCAUGAAAAUCCUACAAUUUUCUUGUGAACCCUACUCAAUACUCAGACAUCGAUCUGCAAGAAUUAAAAAAAUAAUGUUAUUAUAAUGUAGGAAAACACACUAAGAUGUGAAUAAGAAUUAGGGAAGUAUGUACCCUUCGUGUCGAAUUCCUUUUAAUGGUGGGAAAGCUAAGGAGACGAUCAGCCGAAAUAGCAAUAUGGAAUGUAAAAGAGAGUAAAAAUCACUUAAUGCACAAAGUGUUCAACUUGUACCCUCGUGUUGCAUCAGUGUUGGGAAAUUAAGGAGACGAUCAGUCAGAUACAGACAUGGAAUGUAAAAGAGAGUGAAGGACAAUUUGUGUACCAUGAAACCAUAUUUGAUACACUGAAUUGGAUACUCGAUAGGGCUAAAGAAGAUAGACACAUGAAAAUGUAUGUAAAUUAUAGUAUCCUAUCAUGACACGUUAUGCUAGUU
rnacentral:lncRNA from 1 species